rnacentral:rRNA from 1 species
UACGGGGGGUGCGAGCGUUGUCCGGAAUCACUGGGCGUAAAGGGCGCGUAGGUGGCCUGAUAAGGGUGUGGUGAAAGUCCGGGGCUUAACCCCGGAUCUGCCGUGCCGACUGUUAGGCUAGAGUGCUGUAGGGGCAGGCGGAAUUCCGGGUGUAGCGGUGGAAUGCGUAGAGAUCCGGAGGAAGACCGGUGGCGAAGGCGGCCUGCUGGGCAGAUACUGACGCUGAGGAGCGAAAGCGUGGGGAGCGAACAGG